AUGUCCGAGCCGGAGCACCUGGGCGGGAAGCGGGCCGAGUCGGCGCGGCUGCGGCGGGCCGAGCAGCUGCGGCGCUGGAAAGGCUCCCUGACCGAGCAGGAGCCGGUGGCGGCGGGGGGCGGCCGCGGCCGGCAUCGCGGCGCGGGGGGGUCCCGCGUCCGCUUCGAGGAGGGCGCCGUGUUCCUGGCCGCCUGCUCCAGCGGCGACACCGAGGAGGUGAAGAGGCUGCUGGGCCGCGGCGCCCUCAUCAACACCACCAAUGUGGACGGGCUGACAGCCCUGCACCAGGCCUGUAUUGAUGAGAACCUGGACAUGGUGAAGUUCCUGGUAGAAAAUGGAGCAAAUGUGAACCAGCAAGACAACGAGGGCUGGACCCCUCUUCAUGCAGUGGCAUCCUGUGGCUACCUGAACAUAGCAGAGUUCCUGAUCAGCCACGGCGCCAACGUGGCUGCAGUGAACAGUGAGGGGGAGGUCCCGUCCGACAUCGCGGAGGAGGCGGCCAUGAAGGACCUGCUUCUGGAGCAAGUCAAGAAACAAGGUGUAGACCUAGAGCUGUCAAGGAAAGAAGAGGAGCAGCAAAUGCUCCAGGAUGCCCGACAGUGGCUGAACAGUGGGAGAAUUGAGGAUGUAAAGCAGCCUCGGACAGGAGCCACAGCUCUUCAUGUUGCUGCAGCCAAGGGCUAUUCUGAAGUCAUGAGGCUCCUGAUCCAGGCUGGGUUUAAUUUGAACGUCCAGGACAAUGAUGGCUGGACUCCUCUGCACGCUGCUGCUCACUGGGGAGUGAAGGAAGCAUGUUCCAUCCUGGCUGAGGCUCUGUGUGACAUGGACAUCAGGAACAAGCUGGGCCAGACGCCCUUUGACGUUGCUGAUGAGGGGCUUGUGGAGCAUUUAGAAAUGCUGCAGAAGAAACAGACUGUGCUGCGAAGUGAGAAGGAGACAAGAAAUAAGCUGAUUGAAGCUGACAUGAAUGGGAAGCCUCAAAACAGACUCUUCACCAACAAAGAGAAGAUUCUUUAUGAGGAAGACACGUUGAAGUCUAUGGAAACUGAGGAAGAGAACAAGGACUCGAGCAGUUCUAGUUCUGAAGAGGAAGAAGCUGAAGAUGAAGUUUCAGAAUCGGAUGCUGAAAAGGAGUCAGAGAGAAAGGAAGAGCCCUUUGCCAACCACUCCAGCCGUGAACCCAGGCCCAGCAUCACUGAGCAAAUGCCACCACCCGAGCCCAACUCCUUCACUGCAUCUGCCAGAAGAUUCAGCUGGCUCAGCAAGUCAGACGAGCAGAAGGAUGAGUCUCCUUCCUCGUGGCGGCUGGGCCUGAGGAAGACUGGCAGCCACAACAUGCUGAGUGAAGUCGCUGCCACUCGUGAGGCACAGAGGGAUAAAACUUCCUCUAUCUAUCGCUCCUCAUCCAGCCCUCGGAUAUCUGCGCUGUUGGACAACAAGGAAAAGGACAGAGACAACAAGAGUUAUCUUGCCACCAUAGUACCCAGAAGACUGAGCAGUACGAGCGAUAUAGAAGAAAAAGAAAACAGAGAAUCCGCUGUGAACCUGGUGCGGAGCGGCUCCUACAGCCGGCAGCCCUGGAGGGAUGAGCCAAAGGGAAACGAAGCUCCCCACUCUGGUGCACCCACUACCUACGUAUCCACCUACUUGAAAAGUGCUUCAUUUGGUAGAAGUAGUGACCUGAGCAGUCCCUACAUUUCAGCCAGUCGCAGUCCAUCUCUAGCUACCUCACCCACUGCCAUUGGCUCAUCUACCUCCCUGGGCACCCCGUGGCAACCUGUCUCUUGCUGUCCCACAUCUCUCGGUGUGAACACUCCUGCUUCAGCCCGCCACAACACCAGAGCCCCUUUCAGGCAACAAACUGAUUCUGCCGUAGAGAAAAACGCAGAGGGCAGCUGUGCCAGCACCCCUCUAGGUGUAAUCACAAACCGUGCUGUGCUCGGCACUGCCAACGGCACCGGGAAUGCCGGGGCAGCCUCCGCCCCAGGGAAGGACCUCUCGGCUGAGGAGGCCAGGGAGCGCAGAAGGUCAUAUCUGACUCCGGUGCGGGAUGAGGAAGCAGAGUCACUGAGGAAGGCACGAUCCAGACAGGCCCGGCAGACUCGCAGGUCUACCCAGGGUGUGACGCUGACGGAUCUGCAGGAGGCCGAGCGCACGUUCAGCCGGUCCCGGGCGGAGCGCCAGGCGCAGGAGCAGCAGAGCGACAGAGCCGACGACAGCGGCGAGAGGCCCGAGAGCCGCGCGCGCUGGGGCAGGAGUGCGGACGACGAGACCGUCUAUCGGCGAUUGAGGGGCCCAGCCCAGCCCGACAAACCCACGACACCUGUGUCUCCUUCCACAGCAGCACCUCUGCUCUAUACAAGCUCGUACCUGACUCGAACAAAUAAAUAUCUAGGGCUGGACUCCGUGAAUCCAGCAGAUUUCAGAGCGGCGGCCACGGAGAUGGAGAAAAAUGAGUGUGAAGAUCAGGAUUCAGAUGACAGAUCCCUGAACAAACAGUCGAUCCGAGAGCGGCGACGGCCAAAGGAGAGACGGAGAGGCACUGGCAUCAUCUUCUCAACACAAGAUGAUGAUGAUGAAGUUGAUGGAAACGAGGAAGUGAAGGAAACUCGGCAUGAAAGACUUUCCAGGUUGGAAGCAGCUACGAACCCCAGCACGAGCGACUCGUCCUACAGCGAGCGCGCCUCCGGCCGCUCCAGCGCCUACAGCCGCAGGGAGAAUCGCCUCGCCGCCCUCAGCAGCCGGCCAGAGGAGGAGAGCAACAGGGACUACAAGAAAUUAUACGAGAGUGCCCUGUCUGAAAAUCAGAAGCUGAAGUCAAAGCUGCAGGAAGCCCAGCUCGAGCUGGCUGAUAUCAAAGCAAAGUUGGAAAAAGCAGCCCAGCAGAAACAGGAGAAAACUUCUGACCGGUCCAGCAUGCUGGAGAUGGAGAAGAGGGAGAAGCGAGCCCUGGAGCGGAAACUCUCUGAAAUGGAGGAGGAAAUGAAGAAUCUCCACCAGCUCAAACAGAUUCACACUCUGAGGCAGAUGAAUGAGCAGCUGCUGGCUGAGAACAGGGCUCUGACCCGGGUCGUAGCCAGGCUUUCUCUGCCCGCCAAGCCCUCGGAAUCAGAGGAGCUGUAGCUGCUUUCCCUCCGGCUCAUCUUGCCUCCCUCUUCCACACUUCCAGGCAGAUUUUGACAGAGCUGAAGUCGGACAACCAAAGGCUGAAGGAUGAGAACGGAGCCCUCAUUCGUGUCAUCAGCAAACUCUCCAAAUAGGAAUCCUGAGCAAAGGCAGGACGAGGAGGGGUGUCCUACACCAGCUGCCAACCCCAGCACCGAGCCCUUCCCCCCUUCCCUUCCCGUCACGUACAGCAAGCGUUUCAGCUGUGGGAUCAAUGUCACACCUGCCUUGCCCUGCCCUUUGCUGUACAUUCCCUUUCUACCCCCAUUUCCCCACAACACAGCCCCUGCCAUUUUUAUUUUUUUUUUUUUUAAUUUAUGCAUGUUGUGGUAUCUCGGACAUUUUAUUCAAGGGAGAAAUGUGAGGACUGAGUUUGAGCUGCCAAAACUUCUUCCAGAAGCUCAGUAUUUGGUUUUGGACUCUGACCCGGAGUGGGAAGCUCCUACUGUAAAAAGUGACAUCUGAAGAACUAACCCAGCAUAUCCAAGCCCUUUCCAGGUGGGAAAUGUGAACCUGGGUUGCGACUCUGAGGAUGCACAUCAGCCCACUGAGAUGUGGGACUCUGGUUAAAUGUGAUGCUGUGAAAGCCACCAGAGCUCAUGUUUGUCACAGGCUGAUGAGCUGUUUUGCACAGAGACCUUCUCCUCUUGCCCCAGUAGACUGAGACUUCUAUUUAAAAUCAGAUUUUACUGUUCAGUAACAACAGUGCUGACACUCAGUGUCAGACCCUUAUCCCUCCCCUCCCUUCACCCCACAGCCCAGGUGAUCCUGUGUCACGUUGUGUCCUUCCAGGGCUCUUGUCCCUGUGGUUCGUAGCAGCCAGUUGCCACCUGAACUCUUGUUCCUUGGGACAGGAUAUAGGCACUUCCUGAGCUUUUUGAAGGACAAACGUGAACCCCUACAGACCCUCUACUGCUCUCACCUGUGUGAGCAUGAAUCACCUUGCACAAGGGAGCUGUGCCCGUGCCAGAAACCAGCCUCCCCUUCCCAACAGCCAUCUGGGACAUUCUCCUGCGGCCUUCCUGCAGGCAGAGCCCCAUAGCAGAGCCUGGUCUGGUAUUUCAGGUGCCCCCCCCUUUGAUUUGCAGCAGGAUUUGUAGAGAAGAAUGCCAGCAUCCUGUCCCACACACCUUGGAAAGGUCAGGGUGUGUCAGUAUCAGAGGGACGAGGGGCUGCUGGUAACUGAAUCACCAUGAUAAAAGUCAUCUGACCUGUCAAAAACUUGUGAUAAGCUUUGACCUUGAAAGAAACUUCCAGAAAUACUCUUUAGUGUUACAUGCACUCUGAACAGUUUGGAAUUGUUCUCUCCCAUGGGCAUUUAGACAUUGGCUCCUCUCUCCAUCUGUGAGACAUCAUCAGGUCUGUUGAGCUUCCCGUUAACAGACUCCUCUCAAACAAUGCCUUCCCUCUCAGAGACAUCCUGCUGUAUCCAAAACAUUCUCCCAUCUACAUCCUUCCAUAUUUGUCCUUUCAUCCCCUUUGUCCUUCAACUCCCCAGAUUCUGUCUGGCCAAGAGCAGCAGUUCUUGAUCACUGAACCUGGAGGUGGCCAUGGAGCAGCUCUGCCACGUUCCUGAGCAGCUCUGCUGGCUCUGGCUGGGGGGACUCUCCACUGUCAGAGAGAUACUUGAACAUGAGCAGAAUACUUGAGCUUGCUCAACAGGGUAAAACUUAUCUCUAAUAGGGCAAUCCUGGGCUUUUUUGAACCUUUUGCUGGUUAUUGCCUCAGAAAGCAUCUCUCUCUUCCCCUCCCUGGGGUUUUCUCUCUUUGGUUCCUCCCCCCCAACCCCCCCAAAUUCUCCAUUUUUCCCCCUUCCCCUCCCUGUCCUGCCUGUUUCCACCUCUCUUGCUCUUCCUGGAGCUGCCAGUUUUCCCCACGCAGCUCUGACCACAAGUUGCUCUUCAGCUGAUGGAGCCCUUUGUGCAGCUGAGGCACCGUUUCUCCUGGUACACUGAGGCUCUUCCUCUGCUGCUGAGCUUUGAGAGGAAGAGACCAAAGCUGGUAAAGGCAUCAGGGUUUCUGCAGAGCACUGCCUAAGCCAGGCAUCCGUUCUAUAUUCCUUGAUUUUAUAUUCCUCUAUUUAACGGCUUUAAGUCUUGAGAUCCGGUCAAUGCUUCCCCCGCACGCCGUUCCCUCCUGGUGCGCUCUUUAUGUGAGUACUUCUGCCGUUCUUGAUGUUUUCUCUCUUGGUGACCCGCUCCUUGCUUCAGCCUCGGGCUCUGGCUCUGCUCAGAUCGGGGAUCAGGAGCCCGGUCCCAUCUGUGCCACGUGGAGGAGGAGAUGCUCCCCAGCUGGGCCGGCGCCUCAGGCUGCACAUCCCGGCAGGAUGAGGAGGAGAGUUCAGAAUAAAGAUCCUGUUCUUCUCACAGGCAGGUUCCUGGCAGCAGGAAGAAGCCUGGUGUCUGUUUUAGGAAGAGGGUUCAACCCAAUCUGAUAAAUCCAUCCUGCACUGACGUUUUUCCCCUUCCUACCAGGACACUCACUGUGCUUUUUCUCAAGGAACAGAGUGGGAAGGCUGUGGAAUGCUCGUUCUUCUGAGUGGCACCUUGCAAAGCCAAACCACUUUAGCUGAAGUGUCUGCUUAGCACUGGAUUCUCCCGAGCCCUGGGCCUCCACAGCUCAGUGUCCCUGAUCAGCCAAAGCUGUGAGCAUCUCGUCAUGACGGAGCAACUGCAAACCAAAUUCUUGAGAAUGGAUUUUUUUUUUUGUCUCACUUCAUGCCUGACAUAACCAGUGCACUGAGGAGGUGACAAACAGGACACCUCGAACCCUGUGCUUGGGGCAGGGUGCGGAGCAAAUAGGUUUUAAAAUUGAUCCCUCUUGGAACCAGAGCAUUUGCCAGACGUGGUCUCCCUUGGGGAACGUGAGCUUUUUUUUUCUAAGCAAUUGCUUGGGGUGAGUUAAUUCCUUAGGGUGAACCCACCUGUUGUGGCUGCAAAUUUGGUGAUGGCUCUUUGUAAAUAAACUCCUUGGAGAAGCAGGACUGGCUGACGAGAUGGGGAGAGAAUGUAUUUUUAUGCAACUUUUGAGUGGCCUUUCAAACCCUGAGAUGAAUGAUUUGUUUUACUGGUUGUUGUUAUAUAGUAUUAUAAGUAUUAUGUGUUUGAAAGUUUGGGAAUAAUAUUCACAGCUAUGAUGCUUGUAAACACAACAGUAUUUAUAAAUGAAUAAAAUAAGAGUUGAUAAAAUAGAA